rnacentral:rRNA from 1 species
AUUGAACGCUGGCGGCAGGCCUAACACAUGCAAGUCGAGCGGAUGACGGGAGCUUGCUCCUUGAUUCAGCGGCGGACGGGUGAGUAAUGCCUAGGAAUCUGCCUGGUAGUGGGGGACAACGUUUCGAAAGGAACGCUAAUACCGCAUACGUCCUACGGGAGAAAGCAGGGGACCUUCGGGCCUUGCGCUAUCAGAUGAGCCUAGGUCGGAUUAGCUAGUAGGUUGGGUAAUGGCUCACCUAGGCGACGAUCCGGAACUGGUCUGAGAGGAUGAUCAGUCACACUGGAACUGAGACACGGUCCAGACUCCUACGGGAGGCGGCAGUGGGGAAUAUUGGACAAUGGGCGAAAGCCUGAUCCAGCCAUGCCGCGUGUGUGAAGAAGGUCUUCGGAUUGUAAAGCACUUUAAGUUGGGAGGAAGGGCAGUAAGCUAAUACCUUGCUGUUUUGACGUUACCGACAGAAUAAGCACCGGCUAACUCUGUGCCAGCCGCCGCUGUAACAC